CCAGCUCAUUGGCAGCAUGAGAAUCCAUGACCCAGCAAAGACAGAGAGAUGAAAUGAAAGGAAAACAGUGACUCGAUGCAGUUUCCUGGGGAAUCUCAGCACACAACUAAAUCUUACGUUUUGAGAGUGAACCAUUGACAGCUACUCUAAGAACAAGUUCUGCCAUGGACUACAUAGAGCAUGAAGAAAAUGAGAAUAUCCUUGUCAAAUUGAUGGGGCUGAGAC